rnacentral:rRNA from 1 species
AUUGAACGCUGGCGGCAGGCCUAACACAUGCAAGUCGAGCGGAUGAAGGGAGCUUGCUCCUGGAUUCAGCGGCGGACGGGUGAGUAAUGCCUAGGAAUCUGCCUGGUAGUGGGGGAUAACGUCCGGAAACGGGCGCUAAUACCGCAUCCGUCCUGAGGGAGAAAGGGGGGGAUCUUCGGACCUCACGCUAUCAGAUGAGCCUAGGUCGGAUUAGCUAGUUGGUGGGGUAAAGGCCUACCAAGGCGACGAUCCGUAACUGGUCUGAGAGGAUGAUCAGUCACACUGGAACUGAGACACGGUCCAGACUCCUACGGGAGGCAGCAGUGGGGAAUAUUGGACAAUGGGCGAAAGCCUGAUCCAGCCAUGCCGCGUGUGUGAAGAAGGUCUUCGGAUUGUAAAGCACUUUAAGUUGGGAGGAAGGGCAGUAAGUUAAUACCUUGCUGUUUUGACGUUACCAACAGAAUAAGCACCGGCUAACUUCGUG